GUGCUUGCUUCGGAAGCACAUAUACUAAAAUUGGAACUAUACAGAGAUUAGCAUGGCCCCUGCGCAAGGAUGACAUGCAAAUUCGUGAAGUGUUCCAUAUUUUU
ensembl:snRNA U6 U6 spliceosomal RNA